rfam:Pelodiscus sinensis unplaced genomic scaffold scaffold1279, whole genome shotgun sequence.
UUUCAGUGAACAUUCAACGCUGUCGGUGAGUUUUCUCAGUAAGGUUAAACCAUCGACCGUUGAGUGUGCCCUGCGG